GCAAGGAGAACUCCCAGCUGUGGCGACCAGGGACAGGCGAUGGGAGUCGGAGGAGCUGCCUUUGGCUCUGAGACAAAGCAGGAGAAAGAGGCCAUGACCUCCUUGUGACCCUUGGCCCACGAAUGACAGAUUCCCCCAGAGCACUUUCAUCUUGUCAGAUUCCACGCCUGUGAGCUCAGCCUUCACCUGGAAGCCAAGCAGCUGAGCAGAAGUGAAGAUGAAAAAAGCAAGAAGAAGGAAAGACCGAUAAUGACCUUCCCGCCAAAGGAAAACACUCCGCAUUCGCAUACUCCCCCUGCCCCAGGGCCAGCAUUGCUGGGAGCAACAAGCUGAGUGCUAAGCUGUGCACAGAUGGGAGAGGUGGACACAGAAGUCCAAUCCCACGGCCCGCCACACCUGGGGAGGAAGGGAAGAAAACCACACCUGCUCAGUGCGAAUGGAAUGGGUUUUGAAGCUUAAUGGUGCACGGAAUUUCUGUGUCUUUUUGCUGUCUCUGCAUCUGAUGAUCGGUAUCUGUCUUGGAUUUGUUUUGUUUUGUUUUGUUUUUUACCAUUCAAUAAACCUCUUAACAUAAA
rnacentral:lncRNA from 1 species